rnacentral:misc_RNA from 1 species
AAUAAUCCAUCAGUGCCAUGCUCAUCUACCAUCCACCUCACGCGAAAAUAUCACAAGCAAAUAACCUGGCAAAUGCAGGAUAGUUCCCCGACAGAAACCCUAGAAAUUUUCAUCCUUUUUCUCCCUUCUGCUACAUAACCCAUCACUAACAAAAAAACUUGAUGAUGGAAUUUACGAAUGCAAAUCAGGAUGAUACUACUGCAAAUACAGAAGUUUUUAAAGCAUGCAGAGAACCGAAUAAAUUAUUAACAAAUACGGCCAUUGACAUGGAAGCAAUUAUGGGGUGUAAAUAUGGAUGAAAUG